rnacentral:lncRNA from 1 species
AGUCAUGUCCAGUUCUGUAAACAAAUUCUCAACUGCACCAGAAGGCCUGACAGUUAAGAGAACCCAGUGAAGAAACCUUUUGCAGAGAGAGAAAAGAACCCUUUUGAAUGUGAUCAAUCACGCUGAUUUAUUUGGAUGAUUUCUCUUCUGGAUUUCCUUAAACCAGGGAAAACCCAGGGACAGCAAUUGCUAUAAUUGAUGCAAACGAUCCCAGCCACACUCCCUGAUCCUGGUUCUGAAACUCAGAGAUGCAGCUGACCAGACUGAUGUGGCCAGCCUCACUCUGAAGGAUCCUGCAGCAGACAAAUUGCUGGAAUGUGUUCAGACGGAAUCCAGCUGCUACAACCGUCACACAAACUUCCUGAAAUAGAGGACAAAAGAGACAGAGGUCUUGCUAUGUUGCCCAGGCUGGUCUCAAGCUCCUGGCCUCAAGCGAUUCUCCUUCCUCAGCCUCCAAAAGUGCUGGGAUUACAGGUGCAACAGUGACCCGUGACGCAGUAGGGAGGGCUGUUUUCCAUGCCCAGUGAGGCCUGCUCAGCUCCCAUUAGGCCUUUAUGGAUGGCCUGCCUCCCAGCUGGUACCUGGUCCCGUCACAGUCCCAGGACUCUAGACCUCGAGGCAGCCAGGCCACAAAAUGCAUGGCACAGGGAAGGGUUUGACAACUUUUUGAUGGAUGAACAAAGAAGAUUCAAGCCACUUGUCAACAAGCUCAAAGUGAUUGAAAGUGGAAGCAUUUACCCACACGCUCAUGCAGAAAAUGACAGGAAAUCAUCCAGAGACACUUGUGACAGAGAUGAGAACUGUCACUGUUGAGAGGUGCUGCGGAGAUGGGUGUCCACGGAUGACCGUUCGGAGGCCGACUUCGGGGAUGUGGCCCCAUUAGCUCAAGAGUGGGUGACUCCCUACCACACUGAUGGCGUUGGCCAGGACAGGACAAGCCUACUGCAGUGACACAGUGUCACUGAUCCCUGAUGCCCACGUGGGUGUUUUACUUUAGCUAAUGCUGCAGAGAUAAUGCAGACAGAGAAAUGAGGCCCCAGCGCUGAGCAGCCCAAUCACCUGGUUGUAAGCAGCGAGUGUUUCUGGCUCUGCUCCUGGGCCCCAAACCACUGUGGGCUCACGAAGAAUCUUUCAGAGUUGGAGUCAGAAUGUCAGGGUUUGAGUGUAGUCUCCACCCCUUAAUGACCUUGCAUUGAUAAUUCUAUUCCCCGAGCCUCAUUUUACCCAUCUAUAAAAUGAGGACAAAUAGUUUAUUUCCUGGUUACUUCACUAAGAUGUUGUAUCAAAAAAGAAUAUAUGCAAUAAAAUGCUUUCCUAAGUAAAAAAAGAUUUCCUAAGUCAAACACAGAUUUUAUUUUAUAUUUUUAGUUAAGGUUUGCAAAAUUAGAUGUCAGAUUAGGAAAUCCGGACUACCGUGUGUGAUCAGCAAAGUUAUGACUUCAAAAGAAAACAUAAUUGGCGGAAAAACCUUACAUGUGAGGCAGACAUGAUGAGAUCUAACAACCGGUGGGCAUUGGUGGAUGAGUUCUGUCUUACCUUGUGUUUAUCUUUUGAAAUCUAGGUAAUCUUAGCCAGGAGCUAUGUCUCAUGUCAAUAAUCGCAGCAGUUUGGGAGGCUGAGGCGGGAAGAUCACUUGAGCCCAGGAGUUCGAGACGAGCCUGAGCAACACAGUGAGACCUCAUCUCUACAAAAAAUUAAAAUAAAAUAAAAUAAAAUAAAAUC